GUGUAGAUGUGUUUAUGGAGUUAAAAGCAUUGGUAUUGGCACAACUAAGGCGUUGGGAGGCACAGAUAUAGCGAAGUGUUCAGGUUUGGCUUUGUUUGUGGAGUUGAAGAGUCGAUAUUGGCAAAUUUGGAACAUUGGUAGAUUGAUAGUAAAGUGUGCGUGUUAUUGGCAAAUGUAGAACAUAGGAAGAUAAGGUUAUAGUGCAUUGUGCAGGCACGCUACCAUGCACUCUUGAUGUAGAGUACUCCUACCCUUUGGAUUAUGCCCAGCAAGUGCACUAUCCCAAUUAGCUAUUCUCAAUAUGUUGGUUCAAUAUAUAUUAGGACCCCAAGAAAGUUCCAUGAGAUUUGUGUUUGUGCAGAGGGAUCAGGACUUCAUGGAAGUGUCAGUCUCAACAUGCUCUGGAAAGUAGAGAAACAAUGCAACAGGUUGCCAGUAUUGUCCCACAGUCAUCAAGACAUGGUCACAAUAUCCCACUGCUUAUAGAUGAUCUAAAAAGCCAUUGAAAGUCAUUUUAAUAGUAAAACCCAUGAGGCCUGCUGCUAUAAGGACUAAUGCUAUAUUGACUAGUGUGUGGAUCAUAUUAAUUAAUGGUUGCCUAUGUCAGCUUACCAGUAACUUACUUCCAUAAUGUUAAAACAUUUCAUGUGAUUGUGUUUUGUGUAAUACAACAUUUGUCAUGUCACUUUAAGUAUAAAAUUGCAUUGAACCUAUGCAUUUUAUGAAUUGAUCAACUGCAAUCCUGUCUUUAUAAGUUUUUAAAGUCUUGAUUUCAAGAUAAAUAAACAGUUUAAGUUGUUUGUGUGACUAUAUCUCAUUGAAAAUGACUGCAUAAAAUGUGAAGUGAUAAGCUUGAGUACUUGCUGUCAAGUUUUAAAUAUUUUAUACUUUUAGGAUAUGAAAACUAUUUUAUCUAUGACAAUGAUAGAUGAGUUAAUUUUUUAUGUUGAUAUUAGUGUAGAAUGACUUUGUAAAAUUUACAUAAAUCCUGAACAGAAGCAUCAAAAUCAAAGAAAUUUGCAUGGUAGCUAGGCGACUAAAAUUUCCUUCAGUUAAAAAGGAUUUUUAACAGGAAGAACAUAUUAAAAUUAAAAAGACUCUGUAUGUUUGAUAUCAUUGUAAUUCUUUCAGAACUUAAUCUCCUGCAUGCCUGAAAAUUUGGAAAUUUAUAACAAAAUAAUAUAUGAUAACCCGAAGUGCAGUGCAGUGCAAAAGAAUUAGUACUCUGAACUUCUUAAUUUUUGAAUAAUUGCCCUUUGUUAAUUUUUCAUACUUUAAUUUUGUCUGGGCCAUUUCUCUUCAACUAUAAAACCUAUGGACUUAGACUUCAUAGAAUGAUAGAUCUCAUUUAGAAAAAGUGCAGUGCACAAGGACUGGUACUUUGCACUUCCUAAUUUUUGAGUUAUGGUCCUUUGUUAAUUUUCAUAUUUUAUUUUUGUCCAGGUCAUUUCUCCUAAAGUACAAAAGCUAUGGACAUGAAACUUCAUAGGAUGAUAGAUCUCAAUAAAAAAAUGUGCAUUGUACAAGAACCAAUAAUCUGCAUUUCUUAUUUUUGAGUUAUUGCCCUUUAUUAAUUUUUCAUAAAUUAUAAAAGCUAUGGACUUGAAACUUCAUAGGAUGAUAUAUCUUAUUGAUAAGAAGUAUAGUGCAAAGAAAAUGCUGCUCUGCACUUCUUAUUUUUUGAGUUAUUGCCCUUUGUUAAUUUUCUUGUUCUGGCCAUUUCUCCUAAACUACAUAGUUCACAAGGCGACAUAUCCGACUCGUGAAGUUCUGGUUCAUUCAAAUAGCCAGUUGUGCACUUAAAAUUUGUUUAAAUUU